GUUUCUUCCUGGAAUACCCUCUUCCUUUCCGACUCCCCCAUCUUCUUUUCCAGCAGGCUAACUCCAAAUUAUUUUUCAGACACCCUCAACUGGAUCCUCCCUCUUUCUUAAUCUACCACUUUGAUCAUACCUUGAAUAUAACUCUGUUGGAGCACCCAGUCAAACUCUCCUAAAAAUAUAUGACCUUGACCAACAUAUCCUGACUCUAUUCAAUGCCUUAAUUAUAUACUAGGUUCUGGGAUUCUUUUUAAAAUUCUAAGUUUUAGUAUUUGAUUUCUUGAUAUAAACAAAUAAGAUCUGCCAGCAGACAAGACUAAGCCAUUUUGUAAUAACAUGUAGGCAUACUUUAAAAGGAAUAAUUAUUAUUCUGUCUCAUUAAUUAUCAACUAUACCUAGGAUAUUUGCCACAUAAAUUUGCAUUCAAUGUAAAGGCAAAUAAUGACUGUGAAAUCAGUCAUUUAUGCAUUGAAAAUGUACAGUGUAAGCAGAAUAACUAAGGUUGUUCUUCCACAUGAAGGGAGGGCUCUCUUGUGCGUAAAGAUUUUUUUCACUUCAAUGUGUUAUUUCUAGGUCUCUUUGUGACCAUAACCCAUGGGUUCAUGUAAAUAGUCAGGGGCUGAACUGAGCAAAUCUUUUAGUUGUUUUCAAAGAAGACAUGAGAUCCAGAUUAAAUGAUUCAAAAUUAUUAUUGGCUUCAAAACCAAGCCCGUUUUCUGUAAUCAUUAAAGUAAGCACUAUCUUAUGUUCAUGAAAACUAAAAGACAUCAAGGCAGGCUAAUGAAUAUCAGAGUGUGAGUUUGAUAAAAACCAGGCUGCAGCUCAGAAAUCUAU
rnacentral:lncRNA from 1 species